rnacentral:rRNA from 1 species
UGAGGAAUAUUGGUCAAUGGACGAGAGUCUGAACCAGCCAAGUAGCGUGAAGGAUGAAGGUUCUAUGGAUUGUAAACUUCUUUUAUACGGGAAUAAACGAAUCCACGCGUGGAUUUUUGCAUGUACCGUAUGAAUAAGGAUCGGCUAACUCCGUGCCAGCAGCCGCGGUAAUACGGAGGAUCCGAGCGUUAUCCGGAUUUAUUGGGUUUAAAGGGAGCGUAGAUGGGUUGUUAAGUCAGUUGUGAAAGUUUGCGGCUCAACCGUAAAAUUGCAAUUGAUACUGGCAGUCUUGAGUACAGUUGAGGUAGGCGGAAUUCGUGGUGUAGCGGUGAAAUGCUUAGAUAUCACGAAGAACUCCGAUUGCGAAGGCAGCUUACUAACCUGUAACUGACAUUGAUGCUCGAAAGUGUGGGUAUCAAACAGGAUUAGAUACCCUGGUAGUCCACACGGUAAACGAUGAAUACUCGCUGUAGGCGAUAUACAGUCUGCGGCCAAGCGAAAGCAUUAAGUAUUCCACCUGGGGAGUACGCCGGCAACGGUGAAACUCAAAGGAAUUGACGGGGGCCCGCACAAGCGGAGGAACAUGUGGUUUAAUUCGAUGAUACGCGAGGAACCUUACCCGGGCUUAAAUUGCAACCGAAUAUGGCGGAAACGCUAUAGCUAGCAAUAGCGGUUGUGAAGGUGCUGCAUGGUUGUCGUCAGCUCGUGCCGUGAGGUGUCGGCUUAAGUGCCAUAACGAGCGCAACCCUUGCCGAUAGUUACUAACAGGUUAUGCUGAGGACUCUGUCGGGACUGCCAUCGUAAGAUGUGAGGAAGGUGGGGAUGACGUCAAAUCAGCACGGCCCUUACGUCCGGGGCUACACACGUGUUACAAUGGGGGGUACAGAGGGCUGCUACCACGCAAGUGGAUGCCAAUCCCAAAAACCUCUCUCAGUUCGGAUUGGAGUCUGCAACCCGACUCCAUGAAGCUGGAUUCGCUAGUAAUCGCGCAUCAGCCACGGCGCGGUGAAUACGUUCCC